rnacentral:lncRNA from 1 species
AUGUACUUAUUGAUUUCAUAUAUGGUGCAGGGUAGUUGAUUCUUUAGAAGUAUUUGGAGCAACCAAAAUUGAAGUGAGAACACGAUACUUCACUGGUGUGUCCAUACAUAUGUCUAUAUAUACGGUGGAACUCCAAGUGAGUAUGAAUCAAAUGAAUGAUGCCCCAAGAGCUCAUGUGCAUUUCAAAAUGUUCUAUUCCUCCCACAUUCAGCCAACUGGAGUAUCCUGCUCUCCCUUCUAGAGGUUCUACAGUUCAAUCGUAUGUUACAAAUCAGGUGCUUGCAUUCUGUUGUAUCAAGAUGUGUAAAUAGUUAGUAAGUUGUCUAUUGGUUACCAAGUUCAUUGACUUAUGAAGGAACUCUAACUCACGAAAGUCUACAUGGAAUGAGUUCUGUAGUUCUCAUAUAUUUUUUACUAAAAGAAAAAUGAAUUUACUUGGUUCAUCUUUUUGUUCUGUAGUAAUCGAUCAUAUCAUAUAGUUUUGAAGGAUCUGACAUUUUAAGUUGUCUAUAAGUAUGCAUGCUUGGGACAAGGGUGGAUGAAAUAUCAAUUGGGAUUAGUAGGGUGUAUUUUUACUUGGUGUGUCCACGCGUAUGUUUGUUACUGAUCAUACCAAUAUAUAUCUUCUAGAACUGAUGGUGAGUUGUAUGUUACUCUGUGUUGUGUAUAAUGGAUUCUUUCUUGCCUAUUUUCCCUGUCAUGACAAGGUUUCAAUAGCGUAUCUCCCGUAGCAACGCACGGGCGAAGGAGGCAGUUGUCACCGACGGCGGGGCCGAAUGUGUUGGACGCGCACACUCGCCCGCAGUCAACGCAGACAUACUUAGCGACCGUCCAUGGCGGCGAGUGGCUCCGGGGGGUGGCGACGGGGUUGGGUGGUUCAAGCGGCCACUUCUGCAGCUACAUGGGAUUUCUUCAGGACCAUCAGCAGGUACAGGAUUUCUUUAGGAUGAUGACUCAGACCAUAUCUGCAUGCAGAUAACACAUAUGAACUUCUCCUGAGAUUGUGACUCAGUUACAUGGUGAUUUACUGUUAAAUUAUAUUGUUGGGGGAUUGUGCAAUGCGACUAAAUGAAAACUGGCUGUGAAUGGAUAUGCGCUUAAAAGACUGUAAAAACUGAGUGUUAGCAUCAAUGUAGAUAUCUAGGAGUGAUUUAGUAGGAUGUCGAAUCUAAACUACAGAAAACAUGCAUCCGAUGGAGUAAUGUUGUUCUAUGGCCCUUCAUGGAAUAAUAAAUUUGACAUGUUCCCAUUGUGCUUUGCAGAAUUGUUCAUGGAAG